CCUACAUCACAGCUCACAGCAACACCAGAUCCUUAACCCACUGAGCAAGGUCAGGGAUUGAACCUGCAUCCUCAUGGAUACUAGUCAGAUUCACUUCUGUUGUGCCAGAAUGGGAACUCCCAGAUUUUUCUUAUUGAAAUGUUUAUACUAAGACAUUAUUUGCUGUUUAUCUGGCAUUCAAAUUUAACUGAGUGUUCUGUAUUUUAUCUGGCCGCUCUACUCUAGAGGAGAGAAAUGAGACUUCCCAUAUUUCUGGAACCGUCUUCAUUUAGCAUUGAUGUCACACUGCCUGAACCUGUAUCUCUAUAAAAAUGCUUCCGGGCUAAUCCAAUAUCUCUCCCUCUUACUCUCCUUGCUUUUCCUAGCUCUGUCCCUACCAGAGAUUUUUGAAAUGAGUUCUGAUUAUCUCUUCAUAUUUUGCUCUAGCUCAGCUCUCUGCUUUAAAAGAGCCAAGUCUCCACCAGUAUUUCCCAACAUAAAUUAUACCGAGGGCUGGUGAGCCAUCGAAAUUCUCAUCCACAGGCUCCAGGAGGGAAAGGGAUGGGGGGGGAUAAUCACGGUACAUCUGUAGUCACAGAGGAGAGAGAGGCAGCAGAUGUGAGGCAAUAAAUAUUUUCCAUAAGACCCUGGGGGUGGAGGACUCCGAUCGGUCUAUUCAAUCAGUGUCGGUCAGAGGUCACAGGCUCGCAGACCCAGACAUGCUUUAUUUGGCCCACACAAUAUAAUCCUCAGGGGCUUGGGGUUUUUUUUUCAGAAUUUUUAAUUAAUUACCCAAACUUAAUAAUCAGGAUAUUACCUCAAAACUCCCUCUGUGGUUUCUCUUGAAAAAGACGCUCUAGCAAUUCUGGGCUUGCGUUCCUAAGUGAUAACCAGAGACCAGAGCUGACGGCCCCCCUUCCAAGCCCCCAAAGACGCCACUCACUAGUAUCUCUCCUGCAUCCCGCUGCACAUACAAGCUGCCUUGGAGUUUGUCUCCCUCUCAGACAAACCCUUCCCUUUUCCCAAGUUCCACACUACCAGCCAUCCCAGCUCCUGUACCCCAUCUGCAGGGAUUCCAUGAGCUAAUCCAGCCCGUCACACCUAGCAGGUCCACUGUCCCUGCGAGCCACUGGUACAACAGCCUACCUGGCUAGAAGAGUGAAGUAAAGCUGAACUUUACCCGAGAUAGAGAGUUUUCUGCACAUGAUAUAAGGAAGGGGAAGAUACCCUAAGAAAAACGUGUAGCACGUUACAAAUCAAGAGAGCUGUGAGGGGGAGCAUCCCACCAGUCUCGCGUGUGAAAUGAACAGCACUGGAUCCAAACUCAACUGGAGCACACGUAGUAGUUUCACUAUUAUUAGAGCAAUGACAAAUGCACGCAGGGCUCCUUAUUCAAAACAACUCUUUUUUCCUACUCAAAUCCGUGUCUGGAAAUUGUAGACUCUGUCAAAAACCGAAGACAACCCGAAGCAAAGCAUUUAGAUCAGCAAAUCACGUUGAAAUUCACUGACCUAAAUAUUACAGAGAACGUACAGGAGACACUGGCACAGAUGAUACCUGCAGAACAAUGGGUAAAUGCCGCCCGCCAGUAACAGAACAGACUGGAACAGGGAAGCCUGGUGUCGUACAUACAUCAUCUCACAGUUUGGUAAACUUCCUAAACGUGCCACCUCACAAAGGUUCUGUCACCCAAGGUGCUAAAGAGGAGAUGAUACUGGUCUCUUUCACAAAUCAAUUCAUACAACAAAGUAAAUUAAAAUUCUCUAAUCAGUUUAAGGACACAAACAAUUAUUUCCGAUUAUUAUAACAGCCUUAUAUGUGAUUAGUCGGGUUCCUCAUUCAAGACAGAGUAUGUGUACCUAUUUUCUUUUCCAUAUUUAAAUAGUCAUGCAAUCUUUUUUAAGAAUACCUACACGGACCCUUUUCCUUUGGAAUUGCACUAGAAUCAUGGUUUUCCACUUCCCCCUUUUUUUUUUUUCUUUUCUUCUUACUUUCUUUUGCCUUUCCUUUCUCUCCUUUUCCUUUAAUAUUUAACUCCAGAGACCCCUCUAAAGGAAAAAAGUCCUUUGUCCCAGUCCAGGUUAAAUCAGAGUUGGCUUUUUGCCAUCAGGGUAAGGUGUCUGGGAAAGAAAGGCAGUCAUCCCUCUGGCCUCCACCCUGGCCAACAGCACCUUGGUUUCUCCCUGCUGCUUGCUUUCUACUCUCCCUGGCGGAGGACUGGCAGGUGACAGGACCCUCUGCAUACUAUGUCCAAGGAGGACAUGGCAGCCGUGAUCUAGAGAGGCAGCCCCUGCCUUCCUGCCCCCUUAAGGAAAUGGGCUACAAUCCUAAACAUACAACUUAAAAGAAAAGCAAAAUAUAAGUGGAAACACCAUCUUUCAGAAACUGAUGUACCAUCCAUCUCACCCUCUUUUCCUCCUCUCCCUCCUCCUUCCUGCCCCUAACAUGCAAUACCACAUGCCUGAACAGUUUCACCUUCUAAGUGGCAAGCCACUGCUGACAAAAGAAAAAGAUACUACACUUAAAUUACGAUUUUUUUUACAGCAGUAUGAGUCCAAUUAACUUGCUGCAUAUGCAGUUCCAUACCACUGAGUCUAUAAUAAAGACUGAUAUCUCAAAAAAAAUCAUCCCUCUCUCUCAUUUAUACCCUCUUUCCUGCAUCUACGCUGGAAUGAAAAUAUCGAGAGAAGAAGAGACAUGUAUUAGAUUUCCUGAAGCUGCUAUAACAAAUUACUACAACCUUGGCAACCUAAAACAGCAGAACUGUAUCCUCUGAGUUCUGGGGUCAGGAGGCUGAGAUCCUGGAGGGCCACCCUGCCCCUUCCCGCUGCUAGUGGCUGCCCUGCCAUUCCAGGGCUUGCACUGUGUUGUUCUCAUUUCUGCCUCCACCUUCAUGUCGCCUUCUCUCUGUGUGAUUGCCCUCUGCUCUCUGUCACAAGGACACUCGUCGUGGCAAAGAGGGUUCACUUGGAUAAUCCAGGGUAAUCUCCCCAUCUUGACAUCCUUAACUUACUUACAUCUACAGGCCCUUUAUCUGAAGAGAGAAACAUUUACAAAUCACUGAAAUGAAGACUUGAGGCCUUUGGGUGGCCACUGUUCACCCUACUCGGAGAUGACUACCGUGCUACGUGGAAAAUGUCUCAAUUGGCUAAGAAGCACUAGGCAAGCUACACGCGGUGUGUCAGUUACACAGUGCACUGCGGAGAGGACCUUCUCACUAAACGAGCCCCGGGUGUAACAGGCACACUUAGCAUGUAGCAGCUGAAAGAGUCAAAGAUUCUUAACCUGCAAAAUCACCUGGACAGCAAAGUAAACUAGACUAAAUUAAGAAACUGUUCAGUGGGUGCAACUGUAUCUCUCAGAACAGGACCAGGACCCAGUUUAGAAGGGACUCCAUGAAUAAGAUAAAAGUCUGUUGUUACAAAACCGACAAGUCUGGCUAUGCAGAGAAUAUAAUAUGUUGAAACGUGAUCCACCCAGGAUGCGCUCGCUGGAUGGAAAUGAAAGACAGAAAGAGGCAGCAAAUAUCCUUUCUGAGACACCACAUGAAAACCCAUGCGUUAAAUGAUAAGCACUGCGUGACAGCAAAACCUACUACAAAUAAUUUUUUUAAGCUUAAAGGGAAGGAAUUUUAAAAAGCAUUAUAGAGUUGGAAAUUAAAUUCAGUUUUGAGAAAACUGAAUAAAUAUAGAGUUUUUGACUAAUUUGGUCAAGGUUUAUCUAAGAUAGGACAGAGUCAGGGACAAACAUUUGAAAUGUGUGCAUGCCAGAAAGGGAGAUGAAUUUAAUGUAUUAUCAAAGGAUUAAAAGCAAUGGGGAAAAGCUGUCUUCAAGAGAAACCAUGGGAACAUUUUUUAAAGGUCAUAAAAGCUAGCUCUGUUGCAUUAACUUCAAAAGAAGACAAAUAAAAUAUCAAUUUAUUUUCAUCACUGAGAGCAGGAAAUAUGAAAGUAAAAAUUUUUACUUUCUUAUGAACAUCUGACCACAGCAGUCUUGUCAUAAGCAGGAGGGGGA
ensembl:lncRNA